AGCACGGACCAGCCAUCCCUCCCCCUACCUCCUGGUGAUGUUUGGAAAUCUUAAUUUUGUUUUAUAGGUCACAGGUCAGCCCAUCCAUGCCGAUCCUUGUAAUUGGACAGGACGUGCUUUGUGUGGUCUGAUUACAUCUUUUCUUUCAGACCCAAGGGGAGCCGUCAAUUAGAGCCGUGCUUGAGCCUAAGGCUGACCUGAACCGUUUGAAGGCAGAGCUUCCAUGGAGUGCCCCGGUCCUUUUCUGGAAAGGUCAAAGGGAUGAGAGGGGUCUCUGCAGUGUCCUGGAUCUGGUUUCAACCUCACCUUCUCCAUGUAUGAGAAGACAAGUCACUUGGAUUCACCAUGCCUCGGUUUCCCCAGAUGGCGAGCAGGACUCAGCCUUUUGUACCUGGUCCAUCAGAGGACGAGCUUUCAUGUGUUAGCCAACACCUCCGUCAUCACCAUCAUUGCCAUGAUCAUCGUCCUCAUCACCUUGACACGCUGAGCUUUGUAGCCUAAAAACAAAAUGCCUUUAACAAUGUGCAACAGGUCUAAGAUGCCACCUUUGGGAUCAGAUGGGAGUUUGGGAUUAUUUCUAUUUUCCAGUUGUUCAGCCCCCUCCCACUAAGUGCAAAGCGGAGAGCCAUUAGGUUGCAAUGGAUUUGAUUCACCACACGGCCCCUCAAAUCCUUUCUGGAACAAGAUUGGAUGUAAAAAUAAAUCAAAUAAAUGCAUUUUCAGCGUGUGCAGCCCAGCCCAGAGCUCCUUGCAGAUGACUUCUUCCUUUCAAGCAUGUGGAGCCCAGCCAGUGCCACUAGGAAAGUGUCAAAGAGAAAAGCCGGCUGUGGCCCCGGGUUGCAUUGGAGCAGUGGAUUGAGCUCUUCGACUCUCAGCACUUCAACACUCCGCUAGCCCCCUAAGGGUUUUCUGAAGGUCACUGAUGCUGGCAGGAAGUGUGGAAAAAGGAUGUUUAUACCUGGGGCCAGGAGAUGGCCUCUCUCAGGCUGGGAGAGACUGGCAGAGCUGCCUGAUAAUGAGAACAAUGCCAUCCACACCGUUGUGAGCACACGCAAACUGAUCUCUUACUAGAACGAAGUCAGCAAGAGCUACCCUUGGACUCUGGAUGCCUGGGAGGGUCUGGAGCCGUCGGGCAGAAGGAGAAGGUGGAGCGGGUCUUCCCGGAGGCCGGCUCCCAUGGGGGCGGCCAAGGCUCUGGGCCUCUCGGCAUGCCUCUGCGGAUCCUGCUGGAUCCAGAACCGUCUGGAUCACCUGAAGAGUUAUUUGAUACCAGCUGAUUUUCUAAGGGGACAGCCGGGUGGGGAUAUCAUAGGCAGGCGCACUGGCUUCAGAAUUAAAGGCCAAAAGUGUGGA